AAUAUCUCAGUGGUAGAAGUGUAAUUACAAGAAAGAAAGAGGGCAUUUAGUAGUGAUUGUUCACUAUAAAUGGAGGAUGUAGGUAGGGGACCUUAGAGGUUCCACACUGAAAUUUUUGUUUGAGCUUGGAAGCAAGAAACCCGAUGAAGAAGGGAUGGAUCAUCUUUGAAAGACGUGGAAUGCUCUGAACAAAACCGGAUCUAUAAAGAAAAAUGAAAAAAUGGAGUUGCAGAAGUCUUAAUAAAGGUUUGUUAUCCAACAGCUGAGUUCAAGAGCAUUUCGUCCAGAAAGGAUUCCUGGUAGGGCUCUGGAUUUCUAUUGGUUGUGCUAAAUCCAAGAAUAAGUUAAUCUUCGAUGCAGACAUCUCAGAAACAAGGAAAUUCAGAUGGGUCCCACAGGUUAUAUUACCAGCCUGGGCCAGAGGUUGAGUCCUAUCCCUGGCCUCCCUCCCAGAAUCUAGAACACGGGUUAUGCUCCGAUGAUGGAAGCCAAGGGACCCAUGUUUCUGUUCAGACGUCCGAUCAACUUGGCACUGUUGACUCAUCCACAGCAACUGGUGGUUACCCUUUUCAAAAUUCUCCGUCUACCGUGAGUUUCUCUCCGCAUGGAAGCCCCACCUCUCAGCCUGAUUCUCAUUCAUAUGCAUCUGACAUGCAUCAUUCACCAGACAAUACUAUCAGCUCGGCCAUAAGUGGGAUUUGCUUGACGGAUGAUGUUGAUGACUUGAGGCAUAAGAUAAGAGAGCUCGAGACUGCAAUGCUUGGACCUGAUUCUGAUAUCCUUGAAUCGUGUAAUAUCGCCAUUCAUGGUGGACCCAAUCAAAUUUCGUUGGAGACGGAGAAGUGGAAACAAGUGAUGGAGAUAAUUAGCAAAAGGGACUUGAAAGAGGUGCUUAUUGCCUGUGCAAAAGCCGUAGACGAUAACGAUCUAUUAGCAACUGAAUGGUUGAUGUCAGAGUUACGCCAGAUGGUAUCAGUUUGUGGUGAUCCAUUCCAACGGUUAGGAGCAUACAUGUUGGAAGGGCUCGUUGCGAGGUUAGCCUCCUCGGGAAGCUCAAUCUACAAAGCCCUAAAAUGCAAAGAGCCUGCGAGUGCGGAGCUCCUUUCAUACAUGCACUUGCUCUAUGAAGUAUGCCCAUACUUCAAGUUUGGAUAUAUGUCUGCCAAUGGGGCGAUUGCUGAAGCCAUGAAGGAUGAAAAUAGAAUUCAUAUAAUCGAUUUUCAGAUCUCUCAGGGGAGUCAGUGGGUAACCCUAAUCCAGGCUCUUGCAGCUCGGCCUGGUGGGCCCCCACGGAUCUGCAUCACGGGUAUCGAUGAUUCAACAUCAGCUUAUGCCCGGGGAGGAGGAAUUGAGAUUGUGGGACAGAGGCUAUCAAGGUUUGCUGAGUCAUGUAAUGUACCUUUUGAAUUCCACGCCGUGCCCAUUUCUGCUUCUCUAGUGGAGAUUCAAGAUCUUAGGGUUCUUCCUGGGGAACCACUCGCUGUAAAUUUCGCAUUCGUGCUUCACCACAUGCCAGACGAGAGUGUGAGCGUUCAGAACCACCGUGACAGACUGUUGAGGCUGGUUAAGAGCUUAUCUCCCAAAAUUGUGACUCUUGUCGAGCAAGAAUCGAACACCAACACUGCCCCAUUCUUUCCCCGUUUUCUUGAGGUGCUUAACUACUACAAGGCUAUUUUCGAAUCAAUCGACGUGACACUACCAAGGGAGCACAAGGAGCGGAUCAAUGUUGAACAACACUGUUUGGCUCGAGAGAUUGUCAACAUAAUAGCGUGUGAGGGGGCUGAGAGGGUGGAGCGGCAUGAGCUGCUCGGGAAAUGGAGAUCGCGGUUUUUGAUGGCUGGGUUCACACCAUACCCAUUGAACUCCAUGGUAAAUGCUACAAUCAAGGCUCUGCUUCAGAACUACAAUGGGAACUAUAGACUUGAAGAGAGAGACAGGGCUUUGUACCUUGGCUGGGUGAAUCAAGAUUUGGUUGCCUCUUGUGCCUGGAAAUGAAAAUCCAACCUAGGGACAGGAUCUGCAAAUCAAACAAAUUUAAGCGUUGUGUUGUGUCCCACUCAAGUGAGUGCUGGGAAGGGUAUGUCGAUGCAGCGCGGAUGAUCAUCUCAAUGAUGUUUCUUGAUGGGUCUCCAGUAUUCAGUUCUGUUUGACACAAGAAGGGCUAUACAUUCAUACACAUAUGUAGGGUAAAUUAUAUUUUGUAUACUUGCACUUUAUAUCAAAUUUUAUCUCAAUUUCAUAUUUUUCAAUUAUAAUUGUUAAUAACUUGCACGUUCAGUGAAGUUAUAAUAUGAUUAUUCCGUUAGUUUGGUGUUUAA